CCCUGAUGCAACUUCGCUUCCUCCGUGUUUCCACUGUAGGGGUUUUCUUGUCCAUGCCCAGAAGCGAAAAGGGAUGAAUUCCCAGUAGCAAAUGAGUUCAUUAGGUCAUGGAGAUUGUUGUCAUUUUCGUUGAAAAUGUCUCCAAAGUUUGCUGCAACUAAUGGCUUAUGUGAUUUAAUUCCGCUUGAAGAAGAGCUACCAAAGCUUCUCAGCAAUGAUGCACUAUUGGUGCUUGAAGUUGAACCCAUUUGCGCUGCCUUUUGAAGAAGUGCCGUAGCAGACAUAUGAGGGACUAUCUUAUCAUUUUGAACUGAGGAGGUAAAGAGAGAAGGGACACCAGAGGUCAUUUGAUGUUGAUGAUGAUGAUCACCAAUUAUGUUGUUCGUGAAGAUACUGGACCCUUUAUCUCCUCCAGUGGCACCAUUUUGGGAGCUGAAAUUAUUGGAUAUUAGCAGUCCUGAAGUUGGUAGAUUGCUGUUGGAGUUGUUGGCAUUAUUGCUAUUAGCCAUGUUGCUUGUAGUGCUGCUACUGGAAAUAAAGCUAAGGUUGAAAAUAUUGGAAGCGGAGGGAGGAGGGUUGUUGCUUGUGGUGUUAUGAAGAUCAGCGAAUUGCAUCAGUCCAUGAUGAAAUGAUUUAUUUUGCAACAACCCUUGUUGAGAUUGGUGUUCCUCGUGAUAAUUCUGGUUUGAUUCUUGCAUGAAGAAAGCAGAUGAAGGCAUUUGCUGCGGGGGUGGUCGAAAAGAUGGCGAACCCAUAGAUGGGGAAAGGAGAUGAUCAAAUUGUCCACUGCGGCCACCUCCGCCAAGUCGUAAAAUGUCACUAGAUUGGUCAUGCAUUGAGGUAAUUUGAGUACCCACUUGAGAAAAGCCUAAGCUCAUGUUGCUACCUCCAUAUAAAUGACUGCCAAUGGUGUUCAAGGUGGAAGGAGUGUUUCGAGCACUUUCCUGAGCCAACGCAUCGCAGAAGGCCCUAUGAGUGAUAAAACUGUCGCGUCUUGAGAAGAGAGUGCCACAGUCA
rnacentral:misc_RNA from 1 species